rnacentral:tRNA from 1 species
GGAGAGAUGGCCGAGCGGCUGAAGGCGGCACCCUGCUAAGGUGUUAUACUCUAACGGGUAUCGAGGGUUCGAAUCCCUCUCUCUCCG